GAUGAAGAACGCAGCGAAAUGCGAUAAGUAGUGUGAAUUGCAGAAUUCAGUGAAUCAUCGAAUCUUUGAACGCACAUUGCGCCCCUCGGUAUUCCGUGGGGCAUGCCUGUUCGAGCGUCAUCUACACCCUCAAGCUCUGCUUGGUGUUGGGCGUCUGUCCCGCCUCCGCGCGUGGACUCGCCCCAAAUUCAUUGGCAGCGGUCCUUGCCUCCUCUCGCGCAGCACAUUGCGCUUCUCGAGGGGCUACGGCUCGCGUCCAACAAGCACAUUUACCGUCUUUGACCUCGGAUCAGGUAGGGACACCCGCUGAACUUAAGCAUAUCAAUAAGCGGAGGA
rnacentral:misc_RNA from 1 species